UACGUAGGGUGCAAGCGUUAAUCGGAAUUACUGGGCGUAAAGCGUGCGCAGGCGGUUUUGUAGGUCUGACGUGAAAUCCCCGGGCUCAACCUGGGAAUUGCGUUGGAGACUGCAAGGCUGGAGUCUGGCAGAGGGGGGUAGAAUUCCACGUGUAGCAGUGAAAUGCGUAGAGAUGUGGAGGAAUACCGAUGGCGAAGGCAGCCCCCUGGGCCAAUACUGACGCUCAUGCACGAAAGGCGUGGGGAGCAAACAGG
rnacentral:rRNA from 1 species